CUAUGCCUGGUGCACACCAAUGGACUAGCAGGGAAUCGUUUAAAUUUAAUAUGCUGUUGUCUCCAACUUGCGAGCUGUGUUGGCCGCCGGGCUCCACUGUUGUCAUGGCACCCUGCGUAACUGCACAGCUGGCCCACCCCAAAGACUGGUCCUACUGACAGACACACAAACCCUGACAGACACACAAACUCACUGACAGAAAACCACUUACUUGACAGACUUAUUGACACACACACACACAAA